CUUUGUGAGAAAAGACGAAAGACGGAUAGGAUUCUAAGACAGUGCAUUGCAGGCUUCCAGAGUUUUGUGUCCAGACCCCGAACAACGGACCAGUCCUCAAUCAAUGUGUGACAGAAGAGGACGAGAACAGGCUAUGAAACAAGCAGACCUGUGAGAGAUCACUUACUGCUGGGGGAAUCCUGUAGGCUUUGGAUGAUACGUCAGUGGCUCAUGGCUAAGCAUAGAGGGUAAGUAAGCUAACAUGAUGUAGACAGUUGGAAAGAAGAUAAGGUGAAGGGAGGAGUUCUUAGUCGCAGUGAAUUUAAUACUGGGAAUUUUCGGCACCAUGGCAUUUGGCAGGGAAGAUAUUUUGGGCAGUGGGGAUUGGGAUAUGUCUCCAGUUACACCAUAUGAGGAGUUGCUUACUCUUCUGUUUAUGGGUCCAGGCUUGUCUGUCUAGGGGCAUGUGAUCUGCAGGUGUUGAUGGGAAGGUCAGAGGGAGGAGGGGAGUGAGCAAGAGGCAGACAGGGAGAGAGAGAGAGAGAGAGAGAGAGAGAGAGAGAGAGAGAGAGAGAGAGAAAAGCUUUCCUAAGGCUGACUGCUCAGGGAACUUAACACCUCGGAGUAUGUUCUAAAGGAACUGCUCAAGACCUUUUAUUAAUGCAUAGCUUUUCACCUUUGGCACAGAGGAGAAAGCUCUGGAAGAUGUUCCACAGCACUGCACCAGCACUGUGCAGGAAACAUCUAAGGAGCUCGCUGGCACACUCAGUGUCUUGUUGGGCAGCCUUUCCUACCGCUUCUUUACGACCACAGAAAGCUGCUGUCCUGUGGAAUGGCUUAGAAUACAGUUCUCUUGGCUCCGAGUGCUCUGUGCCUCCUGACCCUGCACCUGCAUCUGUAGGAAGACAGGAAGGCAAGUCUGAAUCCCUUGGCUAGAAAUGAUGUUCAUAGGCAAAGCUUACAGUCAGUGUGCUUUAGAACUUCUCGUGUUUCAGACUCCUCCCUCAGCUAUCCGAUGCCACAAGAUGCCUCAUCUACAAAGUGAGUGUCCUAUUCCAUAUCCGAAAGAUGCCUACUUCUGGGCCAUAACAGAGUGUGAGGUAAAGUACAUUUGCUCAGUUGUUGGUCCAGUCCUGAGAAAAAUUAGGGCACCUAUGAAUGUUUUUAUUUUCCUGUAUGUUUUAUAAAUUAGGCUGUACCCAAGAAUUGUAACACUAAUUAGGAAAAACUUCCCCAGUAUAUAGUUUUCAUCUGCAUUCAGAAAAUAGUAAUACUAUCUGACGCUUUAAGAUCCAGUUGGCAGAUCUGGUAGCACUUGCCUAUAUAGUAUAUCAGCUUGAAUUCUACCAAGUUUUAAUCUCCAAUUAUGAUUACAUUUAGGUUUGAGUGAUAGUAUUAUUUUGUUUUUUAAAACAUUAGGUAUUAGAUAUGUGUUUUACAGCUAGUCUUCAUUCAAAUAUUUCUUUCUGUGAAAAAGGUCUAUCUGUUUUUCUCUUUCUAGUUAGAGGAAACCCAGUCUUUAAAACUGGAAGCCAG
rnacentral:lncRNA from 1 species